GACUGGAUAGCUCAGUUGGUUAGAGUGUGGUGCUGAUAAUGCCAAGGUUGUAGGUUCCAUCCAGCUGCCUAUUCCUGCAUUGCA
rnacentral:tRNA from 1 species